CUGUCUAUACUCUGGGGUAACCUUACACUCAUGGUUUCUCAGUGUCUUCACGGUUCCAGAAUCUUGUGGCUUUGGUCUUGAUUGGAAUUGAAUCCCUUGCAAUUUUUAAGAAAGAUGAGAGGAGGACCUCCUAACUUGCAGAUUGAAUCCUUUUUCUUCCAGCUCUCAGGACCCGGGCAACUGAAGCUCCAUUCUACUUCUACCAAUUAACAUGGUCUCCUUCCUCAGCCCCCUUUCCCCUCCCCCUUCUUGAAAGAGGAAAAACUAUGACCUCUUGGAAACCAAAAUCCCAACCACAAAUCUCUUCAAGGUUAGCACUAUGCGCUAAAAAAAUGAAUCACAAAAAGAACGUGCCUUCAAAAUAUCAGUCUUAACUGUAAAACACAGAUAAAAACCAUCCUUUUAAUCCAGUUUUCCCAGCUGUCCUUCUGUUGGCAAUGGAGCCUCAAGCUCCAAACGGGGUGGGGUGGGGGAAUAAUUCUCUGGUCUUCAAUGCUUAAAAUGACAAGAGCAGGUAAUAUGUUCGAGAAAGCGAAUCAGAAAAAAAAAAUUGAAUAAAUCCGAAAUGGCACUUGGAAAAAAAUCUUCCAGCUGAUCCGCACGGUAAAAAAAAUAAAUAAAUAAAACCAUACAAUAGUAUGUACACAACAGCACUCCUCCCAGGUUCAGUGCAACCUCGGGAAACAAAAUCUGUGGAUUUUUUAAAAAAAAAAGCUUUUACAUUAAAGAGUUAAAGGUUUUGAAAUUCUGAAAUGAGCCAUUCACACCAAAAAAAAAAAAAAAAAAAAUCACAGAACACCUGAAAUGCAGUGGUUUUUUUACCUUUAAAAUGAGAGCAUUCGCCAAAACCAGAGAGAAGCUCUGAAAAUAUUCCCUGCUUUUUCCUUCAAACUCGCAGGUUUCCCACACCUACCCCAGCCUGGUUCUGAGCCCCAGACCUCGUUCGGCCUUUCUCCGACAGCCAAUUUCCUGAGUUAGUUCUGCCGUUUCUCUCCUCCACAUCCAGGCUCCGAAAGCCUCCCUCGCCUCAGCCUCCAUGAACCGGGGUCCGCUCCCCUCGCUGGGCGCCUGGCCCGCACGGCGGCGCCGCUGCUCUCGGUGGGGACGACGCGCGCGGCUCCGCCAAGCCUGGUGGCGCCGGCUCAGGUGGGCUUCUUCUCGCCGCUCCGGCCCGGCCGCCCGGCCCCGCGCCCUCGGCCUCCGCGGCCCGGACGCAGCGCGGCUGCUGGAGGCGGGUCCGCCGGCGUCGCGGCCGCGCUCCCGCUUCCGGGCCCCUUCCCCCCGUCGCUGGCUGGCGCUGGCGCAGGCUCGGCCGGCCGCCCCCUCCCCGCUGCUCCGCGCCCGCCGCCGUCCGCUCCCUCCCCGCUGGCGGGCGGGGCCGCGCUCCUCCCCGGCUCCGCCCUCGCUCCGCCUCCCGCCUCGGCCGCCCCGCCCCUCCGCCCUCCGCGGCCGAGCGGCCUAGCUGGUCCGGCGCGCGGGUCUCCCCGCGAGGCCCGACCUUUGUUCCCGACCUGCCCGGCCGCGCCGUCCCGGGCGGCGGUGUUUGCUUAGGGUCUCCCGCACCACCUGGAUUGCCCGGAGAGCGAUGUAUGAGCUUGCAAAUUUACACACAGACACACACACACAGUAGUGGGGAUCGAACUUGGGUCCUUGUGCUUGAGCAGCAGCAGCAGCACCAGAAAAAGAAGAAGAAGAGGAGGAGGAGGAGGAGGAGCAAGAAGAAGAAGAGGAGGAGAAGAAGAAGAGGAAGAAGAAAGAAGAGGAGGAGGAAGCAGAAGAAGCAACUUUUCAAUUGUGGGCAGAAAUCCCAAGACCAAACUGGUUGUUUCUUCUAGAAAGAUGACUCUUUAAGUUAUUAUCAUUCUCCUUCCAGGGUGCUGUUCAGGGACAGGCCUGGCAAAAUAAAACUGCUACUGGAGAGAUUGUGCCUCUGUUUACUAGGGGUCAUUUUGGUUUGGUGGGGGUUUUUUGGCACUGGAGAUGGGACUUGGGACCCUGUGCUCGCGAGGCAGGCAGCGGAACCACUGAGCUAAAUCCCUGGCCCUGGUUGUUUUGUUUUUGAAACAGAGUCUGGCUGAGUUAUCCAGGCUAGCUUGGAGCUCUCUACACUCCUUUCUCAGCCUCCUGAGUAGCUGGGGUUACUGGCACAUAACACUAUACCUGGC
ensembl:lncRNA